rnacentral:tRNA from 1 species
CCAAGGUGGGCUGACCGGCACGGCCCGGCCGCGUCCUCCGGCCGAGGUCAGCUCGUGCCCGGGAUGGUGACGUUCUGCUCCUUGAACUUGUA